rnacentral:rRNA from 1 species
UUAAAUGGCCGCGGUAUUUUGACCGUGCUAAGGUAGCAUAAUCAUUAGUUUUUUAAUUGAAAACUGGAAUGAAGGGUUGGAUGAAAAAAAAUCUGUCUUUGUUUAAAUGAAUAGAAUUUUAUUUUUAAGUUAAAAAGCUUAAAUUAUAUUAAAAGACGAGAAGACCCUAUAGAGUUUUAUAAUAAAAAUUUAAUUUUUAUAAAGUAUUGAAUUAAUUAUUAAAAUAUUAUUAUUUAAUUGGGGUGAUUAAAAAAUUUAAUUAACUUUUUUUAUAUUUUUAUAUUAAUUUAUAGAUAUUUGAUCCAUUUAUAUGAUUAAAAGAUUAAAUUACCUUAGGGAUAACAGCGUAAUUUUAUUGGAGAGUU